UCGUCGAGAUAACGAUGGAGUCCUGGAACCGAUCGAUACAGCCACUGAUCUCUGAUCGCCUGCUAUAGUGUUUCAGUUAGAGGUCGUUAUAAGGAGGCAUCUCCGGCAAUCAAAACAAUAACGGAGUUACAGCAAUAAAAGCUCUACAGCCGGUGGCAGUUUGUGUCGCUACCUUGGGUUGGCCUGGAAAGCCCGCGCCGCCACCACCCUAGAGAUCCAAAGAUCCGCCC
rnacentral:lncRNA from 1 species